AUAAAAUACCAAAACAAAUCCAAUUUCAGCAAAAUCACAUUAAAUAAAAAAAAGGGGAAUUCGAAAUUCAUCCCCUAAUUCCACGUUGAAACCGUUCCCCUCUAUCCCACAAAUCUCUCCCAUAUCCCCAACCCCCUCUCCACUACAUUAAAUCCUAUAUCAGUUAUUCUUUUUCUUCACCUAUCGUAUCUGCAAGCAAGAAAGCAAGGACCAUUCUUCAACUUCUAUUCAAGGUAAUCAAUUUCAUCAAUUCGUUUUGUAGACUUCUCAAUGUUGUUCGAAAUCAACAUCUGUAAUCUCUGUUGACAGAAACCACAUUCGGAGGAACCUCUUUGUUCACCCAACACUAUUAUCAUCCCAAUUCAACUUCAGGCAGAAGGUGAGACUUCGCAAGGGAAUCGUGAUCGCAAGGGAAAGAAAGUGAUUUCGGAUUAAGCACCCGAGGUUGAGCGGCGACGAGGAUGUGGUGGUGUUGAGCAAGUGAAUUUA